rnacentral:misc_RNA from 1 species
UGCUUUUAUUAGCAAUAUUAUUAAUCUCUCAUGUCACUAUUAAAAGAUAAAAUACCAAAUAUGAUCAUGUUUCUCACCAUAAUGUUUAUAAAGAUACUGGAAAACAUCCUCUGCCACAUAAACAUAACCAUCAAAACAAAAUUUUUCCUCAUAGUUAGGAACUAAGCGUGUAAGCAGCAUGCCAAAACUUGACACAACAAGAACACUACACUAGUAGAUCCACCUAAAAUCAGAUUCCACUUUUAAAGUCCAACUUCAUAAAAAGUGCAAUAAUUUAAAAUCAUUAUUAUGGAAUACACAUACAUGCACAUUUACCUAAAAG